rnacentral:rRNA from 1 species
AGUAAAAGUCGUAACAAGGUUUCCGUAGGUGAACCUGCGGAAGGAUCAUUAUCGAGUUUUUGAACGGGUUGUCUGCUGGCUCGAAAGAGCAUGUGCACGCCUGGCUCAUCCACUCUCAACUUCUGUGCACUUUUCGUAGGCCGGCUUGUGGGUGUCGCGUUCGCGCGCACUUGUAGGUCUGGCUUAUGCUCUACCACAAACGAUUCAGUUAUAGAAUGUCUUUACUUUGCGAUAACGCAAUUAUAUACAACUUUCAGCAACGGAUCUCUUGGCUCUCGCAUCGAUGAAGAACGCAGCGAAAUGCGAUAAGUAAUGUGAAUUGCAGAAUUCAGUGAAUCAUCGAAUCUUUGAACGCACCUUGCGCUCCUUGGUAUUCCGAGGAGCAUGCCUGUUUGAGUCUCGUGGAAUUCUCAACCUUCGACUUUGUUGUCGAGGGCUUGGACUUGGAGGUCGUGCCGGCUCUCGUAGUCGGCUCCUCUAAAAUGCAUCAGUGCGAACGUUACCAGCCGCUUCAGCGUGAUAAUUAUCUGCGCUGCUGUGGAGGGUAUGUCAGUGUUCAUGCUUCGAACCGUCUUCGGACAACAUUUCAUCUCUGAGCUCAAAUCAGGUAGGACUACCCGCUGAACUUAAGCAUAUCAAUAAGCGGAGG